UACGUAGGGGGCAAGCGUUGUCCGGAUUUAUUGGGCGUAAAGAGCGUGUAGGCGGCUGGGUAGGUCCGUUGUGAAAACUCGAGGCUCAACCUCGAGACGCCGAUGGAAACCCCCCAGCUAGAGUCCGGAAGAGGAGAGUGGAAUUCCUGGUGUAGCGGUGAAAUGCGCAGAUAUCGGGAAGAACACCCGUGGCGAAGGCGGCUCUCUGGGACGGUACUGACGCUGAGACGCGAAAGCGUGGGGAGCGAACAGG
rnacentral:rRNA from 1 species